GGAAAGUUACCCAAGCUUGGCUGAAGGGGACGGUCUCGAAAACCGUUAGGUCGGGAAACCGGCGCAAGGGUUCGAAUCCCUUACUUUCCA
rnacentral:tRNA from 1 species